rnacentral:rRNA from 1 species
AUGCAAUCCUGGACACUUACAUCAAAACUCAGCCAUUCAUGUCAACAGAAAGAGAGAAACGUGAUGUCUUGCCCCAAAAUAGUAGUAUUAUAUGAAGAGAAGUAUAAGUGCAUAACUGACAAUGCACAAUGGUUUGCUAACUACUAUGAUGAGUUGUUUGGAGCGCUGCAUCAUCUCCUGAACAUUACAAUUUUGUUAAUUCAGUAUUGUACAGAAGGCAAGAGCUUCAGAGAUGUGGUCAACAGAUCACCCCCGUGCGUUCCCCUGUCUGACAGGUCGCUGUGGACCCCUGUGACGAUGCCAAUUUUCGGGGACACAAACAUCAGGAAGGACGACAUGAGGCUGCUUAUCUUCUCAGGAACGGCCAAUCCUUCGCCCACCCAGGAAAUAGCAAGCUACAUCGGUCUAGAACUUGGGGAGAUAAACAUAAAAGUUUGCUGA